rnacentral:tRNA from 1 species
AAGUAUGAAGCGAUAUAUCGCAAUUAGUUUCGACCUAACUCUAGGUAACAUUACCCUUACUUU